rnacentral:lncRNA from 1 species
GUAUUUACAGUGGCUGUUUCCACAGUUCUUGCCAAAACAAUCACUGUGAUUCUGGGUUUCAAAGUCCCAGAACCUGGAAGAAGGUUGAGGAACUUCCUGGUAUCAGGGAUACCCAACUACAUUAUUCCCAUAUGUUCGUUAAUACAAUGUACAAUCUGGCUAGCAGUUUCUCCUCCCUUUGUUGACAUUGAUGAACACUCUGAGCAUGGUUAUAUCAUCAUUGUGUGCAAUAAGGGCUCAGUUACUGUAUUCUACUGUGCCCUGGGAUACUUGGCCUGCCUGGCCUUUGAAAACUCCACUGUGGCUUUUUUUGUCAAAGAAUCUGCCUGAUACAUUCAACAAAGCCAAGUUCUUGACCUUCAGCAUGCUAGUGUUCUGCAGUGUCUGGGUCACCUUCCUCCCUGUUUACCAUAGCACCAAGGGCUAGGUCAUGGUUGCAGUGGAGAUCUUCUCCAUCUUGGCAUCCAGUGACGGGAUGCUUGGAUACAUCUUUGCAUCCAAGAUCUACAUCAUUUUAAUAAGAUCAGACAGAAAUUCUAUCCAAAAGAUCAGGGAGAAAUCAUAUUUCUGA